rnacentral:rRNA from 1 species
UACAGAGGUCCCAAGCGUUGUUCGGAUUCACUGGGCGUAAAGGGUGCGUAGGCGGUCAUUUAAGUCUGACGUGAAAUCUCCGGGCCUAACCCGGAAACUGCGUUGGAAACUAUCUGACUAGAGGAAUGGAGGGGAGACUGGAAUACUUGGUGUAGCAGUGAAAUGCGUAGAUAUUCGGCGGAACACCAGUGGCGAAGGCGACUCACUGGCCCGAUACUGACGCUGAGGCGCGAAAGCGUGGGGAGCAAACAGG